UACGGAGGAUCCAAGCGUUAUCCGGAUUUAUUGGGUUAAAGGGUGCGUAGGUGGUUUUUUAAGUCAGGGGUGAAAGACGGCAGCUUAACUGUCGCAGUGCCUUUGAUACUGAAGAACUUGAAUUAACUAGAGGUAGGCGGAAUGUGACAAGUAGCGGUGAAAUGCAUAGAUAUGUCACAGAACACCAAUUGCGAAGGCAGCUGACUAUGUAAUAUUGACACUGAGGCACGAAAGCGUGGGGAUCAAACAGG
rnacentral:rRNA from 1 species